rnacentral:rRNA from 1 species
UACGGAGGGUGCGAGCGUUGUCCGGAAUCACUGGGCGUAAAGGGCGCGUAGGCGGCCCGUUAAGUGGCUGGUGAAAUCCCGCGGCUCAACUGCGGGGCUGCCGGUCAUACUGGCGAGCUAGAGCACGGUAGGGGCAGAUGGAAUUCCCGGUGUAGCGGUGGAAUGCGUAGAGAUCAGGAAGAAUACCAGUGGCGAAGGCGUUCUGCUGGGCCGUUGCUGACACUGAGGCGCGACAGCGUGGGGAGCAAACAGG